CAAAUUUUAACCAAAAAAAGUUUCGAACUUUAUAUGUCCCCCUUUAACCUUUGAUAUCCGUUCUCAUUAAAUUGUAAUAAGAUGACUAGAGGCCAGCUAAGCAAAUAUAUAUUUAUAUACAUAUCAAGAGGAAAAACCAAACACACAUAGUAUGGUAUGAGGAAACAGCAAAAGCUAUAGUAAGGAUUUCAAGAAUUUACUUCAACCCCCACCCAAUGAAUCAUUUAAAAGAAAACUCAGAAGAUAGAUGACAGAAGAUGAGACGAAACCGAUAUAAGAAAAAAAUUAGAUAACACCAAACCGAAGUAUGGUUUAAAUGGCACCAACAGUACCAAUUUUACUACAACUGUUCGAUAACUACCAUUGAAAUGGGCACAAGCAUUUUUGAC
rnacentral:lncRNA from 1 species